rnacentral:rRNA from 1 species
AAUGAACGUUGGCGGCGUGGAUUAGGCAUGCCAGUCGAGCGAGAACCCCGCAAGGGGGGACAGCGGCGAAAGGGACAGUAAUGUGUAGAUUAUCUGCCCUCAGGUCCGGGAUAGCUGCGGGAAACUGCAGGUAAUACCGGAUAACAUCUCCGGAUCAAAGGUGUGAUUCCGCCUGAGGAUGAGUCUGCAUCCUAUUAGCUAGUUGGUGGGGUAAUGGCCUACCAAGGCAUUGAUGGGUAGCAGGUGUGAGAGCACGACCUGCGUCAUUGGGACUGAGACACUGGCCAGACACCUACGGGUAGCUGCAGUCGAGAAUCUUCGGCGAUGGGAGCAAGCCUGACCGAGCGACGCCGCGUGUGGGAUGGAGGCCUUCGGGUUGUAAACCACUGUCAGAGGGGAUGAAAUGCAGGUGGGUGCUCCCAUCUGUUUGACAUAGCCUCAGAGGAAGGACGGGCUAAGUUCGUG